rnacentral:rRNA from 1 species
GAUGAACGCUGGCGGCGUGCCUAACACAUGCAAGUCGAGCGAUUCUCUUCGGAGAAGAGCGGCGGACGGGUGAGUAACGCGUGGGUGACCUGCCCUGUACACACGGAUAACAUACCGAAAGGUAUGCUAAUACGGGAUAAUAUAAGAGAGUCGCAUGGCUUUUUUAUCAAAGCUCCGGCGGUACAGGAUGGACCCGCGUCUGAUUAGCUAGUUGGUGAGGUAAUGGCUCACCAAGGCGACGAUCAGUAGCCGACCUGAGAGGGUGAUCGGCCACAUUGGAACUGAGACACGGUCCAAACUCCUACGGGAGGCAGCAGUGGGGAAUAUUGCACAAUGGGCGAAAGCCUGAUGCAGCAACGCCGCGUGAGCGAUGAAGGCCUUCGGGUCGUAAAGCUCUGUCCUCAAGGAAGAUAAUGACGGUACUUGAGGAGGAAGCCCCGGCUAACUACGUGCCAGCAGCCGCCGUAACAC